GAUGAACGCUGGCGGCGUGCCUAAUACAUGCAAGUCGAGCGAACAGAUGAGGAGCUUGCUCCUCUGACGUUAGCGGCGGACGGGUGAGUAACACGUGGAUAACCUACCUAUAAGACUGGGAUAACUUCGGGAAACCGGAGCUAAUACCGGAUAAUAUAUUGAACCGCAUGGUUCAAUAGUGGAAGACGGUUUUGCUGUCACUUAUAGAUGGAUCCGCGCCGCAUUAGCUAGUUGGUAAGGUAACGGCUUACCAAGGCAACGAUGCGUAGCCGACCUGAGAGGGUGAUCGGGCACACUGGAACUGAGACACGGUCCAGACUCCUACGGGAGGCAGCAGUAGGGAAUCUUCCGCAAUGGGCGAAAGCCUGACGGAGCAACGCCGCGUGAGUGAUGAAGGUCUUCGGAUCGUAAAACUCUGUUAUUAGGGAAGAACAAAUGUGUAAGUAACUAUGCACGUCUUGACGGUACCUAAUCAGAAAGCCACGGCUAACUACGUG
rnacentral:rRNA from 1 species